GACGAACGCUGGCGGCGUGCCUAACACAUGCAAGUCGAACGGAGUUAAGUGCUUCGGCAUUUAACUUAGUGGCGAACGGGUGAGUAACGCGUGAGAAACCUGCCUUUCAGUGGGGGACAACAGUUGGAAACGACUGCUAAUACCGCAUGAUACUUUUUGGGGGCAUCCCCGAAAAGUCAAAGCUUUAUGUGCUGAAAGAUGGUCUCGCGUCUGAUUAGCUAGUUGGUGAGGUAAUGGCUCACCAAGGCGACGAUCAGUAGCCGGUCUGAGAGGAUGAACGGCCACAUUGGGACUGAGAUACGGCCCAG
rnacentral:rRNA from 1 species